rnacentral:rRNA from 1 species
GAGUUUGAUCGUGGCUCAGAUUGAACGCUGGCGGCAUGCCUUACACAUGCAAGUCGAACGGCAGCACGGGAGCUUGCUCCUGGUGGCGAGUGGCGAACGGGUGAGUAAUGCAUCGGAACGUAUCCUGGAGUGGGGGAUAACGUAGCGAAAGUUACGCUAAUACCGCAUAUUCUGUGAGCAGGAAAGCGGGGGACCUUCGGGCCUCGCGCUCCUGGAGCGGCCGAUGUCGGAUUAGCUAGUUGGUGAGGUAAAGGCUCACCAAGGCGACGAUCCGUAGCAGGUCUGAGAGGAUGAUCUGCCACACUGGAACUGAGACACGGUCCAGACUCCUACGGGAGGCAGCAGUGGGAUUUUGGACAAUGGGGCAACCCUGAUCCAGCCAUGCCGCGUGAGUGAAGAAGGCCUUCGG